UUGCCUCANUAACGGCGAGUGAAGCGGCNCAGCUCAAAUUUGAAAUCUGGCCUUCCGGGCCCGANUUGUAAUUUGUACAGGGAGUUUCCGAGGCGGCACCGGCCUAACUUCCUUGGAACAGGGCGUCAUACAGGGUGAGAAUCCCGUACGUGGCCGGUGAUCAAUUCCGUGUGAAACCCCUUCCACUAGUCNAGUUGUUUGGGAAUGCAGCUCACAAUGGGUGGUAAAUUUCAUCUAAAGCUGAAUAUUGGCCACAGACCAAUAGCGCACAAGUAGAGUGAUCGAAAGAUGAAAAGCACUUUGUAAAGAAAGUUAAAAAGUACGUGAAAUUGUUGAAAGGGAAAAGCUUGCAAUCAGACUUGCUCGCGGGUGAUCAGCCUUUCCUUCGGGGGGGUGCACUCGCCCGCGAUCAGGCCAGCAUCGGUUUUGGCGGGCGGAUAAAGGCCCCAGGAAUGUAACUCCCCUCGGGGAGUGUUAUAGCCUGGGGUGCAAUGCGCCCAGCCGGGACCGAGGACCGCGCUUCGGCUAGGAUGCUGGCGUAAUGGUUGUAAGCGACCCGUCUUGAAACACGGACCAAGGAGUCUAACAUCUGUGCGAGUGUUUGGGUGUUAAGCCCAUGCGCGGAAUGAAAGUGAACGGANNUGGGAGCCCUUUCNGGGGCGCACCAUCNNNAGAUCCUGAUGUUUUCGGAUGGAUUUGA
rnacentral:rRNA from 1 species